GUCAGGAUAGCUCAGCCGGUAGAGCAGAGGAC
rnacentral:tRNA from 16 species